rnacentral:tRNA from 1 species
GAGAGUAGAGCUCAGCGGUGGAGUGCGUGCUUAGCAUGCGUGAGGUCCUGGAUUCAAUACCCGGUACCUUCA